AUAACAGGUAUAUGUAGGUAUUAUUAUUCCUGAUUUACAAAUGAGAAAAGCUGAAGCUUAGAAAAGCCUUGCAGGAGCUUAGGUCAGGAACUUCCCUUUCAGAUUUGCCAUUUAUAUGACUUGGCCAAAGAUGAUGAUUUUAUUGCUGUUGAGAGGUGGACCAAUUGCUUGGGAAAUCUGGGCCUUAGUUCUCCACUUUGCUUUGGGUGUGGACACCUGCUUUCUGGAAAAGAGCCUCUUUUUCAUCCAUUGCUUUGACUACCCUCUCCCAUCCUGAGAUCCUCCACCCUGUUUUCAGAUUCUAGUGGCUUCUGUAUCAUGUCUAGACUCCAUUUUGGCUCCAACUCCUCCUUCUCUGGAUGUUCAGUCUGCCUUCUCUCUUCUUCCAUCCUCAACUCUGGGAUUUCAAAGCCUGAGCUUCUCUUCUGCAAUAUGCAAGUGUCUUCGGGGCAGCAGAGAUUGCCAUGGCUGAGUACCUUCGUGUCCUGGCACCCAACACAGUGCCUGGUAGAUGGCAGGCUCUUCACAAGUGAUGUAAUGGACUCAUGUGGUCAGUAAAACAUGCCCUUUUUAUAAACUCCCUCCCCACGAAACCCAAGCUCUUUGUUUUUGCUGAAAUAUUAAACAAUUUGGGAGCUGAGAGUGCAAUAAAAACUCAAAAAAGUUACCAAAGUUAGCUCAAUUAUAAGUCCUAGAUCUAAUAUACACAAAUUUAUUCUUAAAACUUUUCUUUUUUUCCCUCUUUUUGGGGGUAUUUUUUUAAUUGAAGUAUAGUAAACAUACAAUGUUAUAUUGUUUUUAGGUGUCCACUAUACUCGUUUGACAAUCCUACGCAUUAUCCAGUGCUCACCAUGCUAAGUGUUGUCACCAUCUGUCAUCAUAAAGCAAUAUUACAAUAUUAUUGACUAUAUUCUCUAUGCUGUCCUUUUCAUUUCUGUGUCUUACUUAUUUUAUAACUGGAAGUUUGUACCUUUUAAUCCCCUUCACCCGUUUCACCCAUUCCCUGACCCACCUCCCUCUGGCAACCACGUUUGUUCUCUGUAUUUAAGAGUCUGUUUGUUUUGUUUGUUUGUUUAUUUUGUUUUUUAGAUUCCCCAUAAUGAAAUCUAUUAAUCUUAAUAUGAAUGAAAUCUUAUUAAUCUUAAAACUUCUAAAACUAUUUUUUUUUUAAUUUUGUUUACUGUUUAUUUUUGAGAGAGAGAGAGAGACAUAGAGCACGAGCAGGGGUGGGGAGAGGAAAGGGGGACACAGAGUCCGAAGCAGGCUCCGGGUUCCAAGCUGUCCGCACAGAGCCCGACGUGGGGCUCAAACUCAGGAACCGUGAGAUCAUGCCUUGAGCCAAAGUCAGAUGCCCAACCAAGUCACCCAGGUGCCCCUAAAACUAUUUUCUUAUAUAAAAAGGUGGCUUUUACUUACAACAUUGUUAGAAAAGUAGCUUUAUACUUUCAAAUACGAAUUACUAUUUUCAAAAUUAAAAAAAAUUGAGUUGGGAAUAUAUAGUACAAAACUCAAAAGGUUAAAAAUGACACUUAGAGAAAUGUAAGUUCUUCUCCCUUUUUUUUUCCAGAUCCCCUGUUCUCUUCUAAGAGUCAACAACUGUUAUUAGCUUCUUGUGCUUUCCUUAAGAGGUGAUCUACAAAGAACUAAUUACUAAGAAUUUGUAAGGUCAUUUUGGUCUCAAUAUCCUGGUCUUGGAUUGUAAAGUUGUCUAAACUGGUUUUUAGAAUGAUAGUUGAGGUCAAAUGACAUCAGCAGUAAUCUUUUUCAUGAUGCAAAAAUCCUUUGCACCCAUUAGAGAAACUUAAAACUUGGGUAAGAUGUGGAAGGGAAGGGGAGAGAGGAAGGGAUAGUUAAAGCCACUUGUAAUUAAUGGGGAGUUCCGGUAAUGUGUCCCUUUCCUCUAUGGAAAUGGUGCAAUGAUACUGAAUUUAAAGUCAGAAAGGGUACCAGUUUGGGGGAAAUGUUCAGAGAACACACACUUUGCAAGUAGCUCUAUGAAAAUAACUUACUUAAGGAUAAGAUGUGAAUUAUCUCAAGAUUGAUUCCUAAGUUCUUAUGAACAUUGUAUUUACCAUGACUACAAGUGUAUUAUUAAUGCAUGAAAUUAUUGCUGGUUCAUACAUAUAUUGGCUAACUAAGAAUGAACUUGGGCAAAGUCUCUAAAAGCAAGAACGGAAAAGUGGUUCAUAAUACUCACGGUAAGAAAAUGUUGAAUGGAUCCUGGCCAUUGUUUAGAAGAAGUUCAAGACGGUAUAAGCAGCUAUAUUAAUGAAUUUUUAAGCAUUUUUUUUCUCUGAGAAGGUCAAUGGCUAUGGCUGGAGCUGCCCUGUUGAUGGCCAAGCAAAGAUACAUAUGUGAUGGAGAGAAAAGUGCACAUUUACCCCUGACGGGGGAGGGGAAAGGAUGCCAGAGUGGGUUUUUUUGUUUGUUUGUUUGAGAGAGAGCAAGUGGGAGAAGGGCAGAGAGAGAGGGAGUGAGAGGGAAGCCAAAGCAGGCUUCUCACCGAUCGCACAGAGCCUGAUGUGGGGCUUGAACCCACGAACCGUGAAACCAUGACCUGAGCCGAAACCAGGAAUUGGACACUUAACCAGUUAAGCCACCCAGGUGCCCCUGUGGGAUGCCAGAGUGUUCUCAUGAGCCGAGAGGACUUGUGGAAGGAUCUGGCCUUGGGGUUGUUGUAAAACACUUAUCUUUGAAGGCUUCUUGCCAAAGGACCAAGGCCAUCAGCAAAAAGAGGCUGGAAGGUAUCACUGGCUACAGAGGAUGAAGAGCAGAUGAGAAGCAGUUGGCCAGAGACCAGAAUGGUUCCCAGGGUCUCCAGGGAGUGACUUUGGUGAGGAUUCCGCAAAGUGCUGUUGAAGAGAAGGAAUCAUCACUGGGAAACUGCCUCACCCAGAAGACGCAAACAUCGUUCCAUAUCUGCCUUUGGUAAGGAUGGUCUCUCCUGCCCCUUUCAUGUGCUCCCAGCCUCUGUCUGGGGACGUCAGGGAAGGUGACCAGAAACCUUAAUUCUCCCUUGUGACAAAACAUAUCCAUAGGUUCCGGGGAUUAGGGUAUCUUUUGUGUUAGGGGUGCUAUUCUGCCUACCGUAUUUGCUAAAAUGAGAUUGUCCUUUGGAGCUGAAACAGACCAAAGGACUUUGUAUUGUUUAAGAGUGGCUAAACAAAAUGUACAUUCAAAGCACAAUGAAAUAAAACCUCCCACCCGUUGGGAUGGCUACUAUUGAAAACACAGAAAAUAACAAGUGUUAGUAAGAGUGUAGAGACACCAGAACUCUUGGGCGCUGUUGGUGAGAUUGCUAAAUGGCACAACCACAGCCGAAAACAGUUUGAAGUUUCCUCAAAAAAUAAAAACUAGAGCCACCAUAUGGUCUAGUCAUUCCACUGGAUCCCAUACUUUUGAAAGCAGGGUCUAGAAGAGAUAUUUGCAUAGCCAUGUUCACGGCACUAUUCACAACAGCCAAAAGGUGGGAGCAAUCCAAAUGUCCAUUGGUGGAUGAAUAAACAAAAUGUUGUCUAUACAUACACUGGAAUAUCAUUCAGCCUUCAAAACAAAGGAAAUGCCAUCACAUGCUACAACAUGAAUGAACCUUGAGGUCAUUGUGCUACGUGAAAUAAGCCAGUCACAAAAAGACAAAUGCUGUUUGGUUCUACUUAUAAGAAGUAUCUACGGUAGUCAAAUUCAUAGAAACGGAGAGUAAAGUGGUAGUUCAUGGUGGGAAGCUGGGGCCGGGAAAAGGAGGAGAAUGGGAGUUUUUGUUUAAUGGGUAAAGAGUUUGAAAUGACCUUUUUUUUUUUUUUCAGAUGAAAAAGUUCUGGAGAUCUGUUUCACCAUAAUGUGACUAUACUUCACAUUACCAAACUGUAUGCUUAAAAAUGGUUCAGAUGGUAAAUUUAAUGUUAUGUGUCUUUUAACCACCUGAAAAAAAAAGAGUGAAAGAAGUAUGGGUUCCAAAACCUCAGUAAAGUUUUCACUUCAGGGGAGAUAAAGGUUGAAUCCACAAAUGUGGUUUGAAUGGGCCCUGGGAAAAAGAAUCAAGUUGUUUCCUGCUCGUAUCCUAUCUAUCAUGUCCUGCUAUUGUGAUAUAAUGGUUAUCAGUUAACUAUAAACAAGGCCAGUGUUCAUUAUUAAGGACUUGUUAAAAGCAAAUUUUAAAGGAAAUUUCAUUUCUAGCUAUGACAUAUAGGUAUAAAUAUUACAUAAGGCUACGUGUGUGUGUGUGUGUGUGUGUGUGUGUGUGUGUAGAGAAAUUUAUAUUUCUUUCUAUGUACAUGUAAAGUGACAGGACCAUUCUUGGGCAGUUGGAUCUGGUAUACUUCAAUGACUUAAGGUCAGAUUGACCCCAGUGAUAUCAUUAUACCUAUAGUUUAUGCUGCAUUACCAUUUUUUUUUAAGUUCAGAAAUAUCGCUCAAUCAUUUGCUCUAGACCGAAUGUUAUGUCUCCUUAAAAUUCCUAUGUUGAAACCUAAUCCUCAAUGUGGUCUUUGGAGGUAGAACCUUGGCAGGUGCUUAGGACAUGAUGGGGGAACCCUCAUGAAUGGGAUUAGUGCCCUUAUGAAAGAGACCCCAGGGAGCUCCCUUCCCACUUCUGCCAUGUGAGGACACAGUGAGAAGACUGUGACCUGGAAGAGGGCCCUCAUCCAACCAUGUUGGCACCUUAGAUCUCAGAUGUCCAGCCUCCAGAUCUGUGGGCAAUCAAUUUCUGUUGUUUUGAAGGCUCCCAGCCUGGGCUAACUUGUUCUUGCAGCCCAAAUGGGAUAAGACACCUAGCCUCGAAAGUCACACAGCACAGCCUCUACAAUGUUCCCCAUGUCAGCAUCAAGACGCCUAGUCUAGUCACAUGCAAGGGAAGGGAAAUUAGACUCCACCUUUUGGAGGCGGCAGUGUCCAUGAAUUUGUAGAUGUAUUUAAAAGCCAUCAUGCGACGUGACUGGUUUUGCCAAUGAAAAGUGAAAUAUGUCACUUCUGGAGGGAAACCUUUAAGAGCUGGUGUGUGAUUUUCCACAUUCUUGUCCCUUGCCAAUAUCGAGGGGACAUGUGUUGAUAUGGAGGAAUAAAGCUGAGUCAUUGCAUGGGGGACAGUUGCCCUAGAAAGUAGCCCUGACAUUUCGAAGGACCUUGCAUGAGUGAGAAAUAAACCUUUGUUGUUUUGAACCACUGAGAUUUUGAAGUUACUGCAUCAUAACCCCAUCUAUCCUGACCAGUGUUCCUUCCCCAGCAUCCAAAUUUGCAAAAUGGGUUGUUCAAGGACAAUCCUGGAGACCAGAGUUCAUGAUUUAAAAAGAUAGACUGGGGGCACCUGGUGGAUCAGUCAGUUGAGCGUCUGACUUUGGAUCAGGUCAUGAUCUCAUACUUUGUGGGUUUGAGUCCUGUGUUCGGGCUCUGUGCUGAAGCUCGGAGCAUGGAGCCUCCUUCAGAUUCUGUAUACUCUACUCUUUCCAACUCUCUCCUGCUUGUGCUCUCUCUCUCUCUCAAAAAUAAAUAAAUAAACAUUAAUGAAAAAAAAAAAAAAAGAUAGACUGCCUUACCGGUGCUCCCGAUGCUCCCUUCACUAUGGAGCAGGGGUUGGCAAACUAUGGCCCAUAGACCAAAUCUAGUCCACUGUCUACUAUUGGAUAGCCAGUAAAUAAGAAUGGUUUUGGGGGCACCUGGGUAGCUCAGCCGGUUAAGCAUCUGACUUCAGCUUAGGUUAUGAUCUCGUGGUUCACCGGUUCGAGCCCCGUGUCAGGCUCUGUGCGGACAGCUCAGAGCCUGAAGCCUGCUUUGGAUUCUGUGUCUCCCUCGCUCUCUGCCCCUCCCCCGCUUGUGCUCUGUCUCUGCCCCUCAAAAAUAAAUAAAAACAUUUAAAAAAUUUUUUAAAGAAUGGUUUUUAUAUUUUUAAAUAGUUGAAAAAAAACCAAAGAAGAAGAAUAUUUCACGACAUGUGAAAAUUAUAUGAAAUUCAAAUUCCUGUGUCCAUAAAGAUUUUUUUUGGACCACAUCCGUGCUCAUUCAUUUAAGUAUCACUGAUGGCCAUUUGUGCGUCACAGCAGUGUUGAGUUGGUGUAUGGCCUCCAAGGCCCAAAUUACUUGCUAUCUUCUGGCCUUUUGCAGAGUUUGCUAACCUUGGCCUAGCAGACGAUAGUCUGGCAAAACACGGAAUUUGACGACUUUGAUUUGAAAUGCGAUUCAAGAAAAUUGGACUGAAUAGGUUUGAGAAACACCCUAACUGACCAAUUUUCUUUGCAUAUAUAUUUUUAUUGGCUCAUGGGUGAUAUGGGCUAAAAAAAAAAGUCUGACGUUUAAAAGCUUCUUGAAUAAGUACACAAUGCAGUCCCUAAGAAAUAAGAAAUCAGGGUGACACAGUUUAAUUUGCAGUUUUUUCCCCCUCCUUACAAUCUGUGGUGUCCUAGACUCAAUGAUAUAUGAUAGCAUAAAUGACCCAAAGUGAAAGAAUUCUCUGGAAAAGUCUUUGAAAGGCUAAUUAUGAUUAACAGUCUGACUCAUCAGCUCUUUCUUGCAUUUAUUUACUCCACUCUUGGCAAUUGGCCAGCUAACCAUAAUCCAGCGGGCUGUGACUUCUUGCAGUUGCUUGGGUAUCCAGGUAGAGCAUUAGGAUUGAGGAGUCUUCAAUCCUAGGGCGUUUUCUGAAUUGCACUCAGCCGUGUGGGAGACCUGGAACAGCAAGCUGCGGCAGGAGCGCCUUAGGCGCGUGCUGUUCCCAAUCUUGCUGAGAAAUGCUCGUCUCCACACCAAGAAGGAUCUCCUGCCCAUCCAAGCUCCUGAGGGCUGGGUGUGCAGCUGGAAGCUGGGCCAAGAUGGUGGUCAAGAGCGGCAAGGAGAGCCCUGUCUCGAGAAUGAUCCAAAUGACCUCUCCUCUUGGUAGACAUGAAAAAAGUUAAGUCGUCUCGACCAGUGAACAGAAAAAGGAAAGCAAGCUGGGAUUCUGGAGAGGGGCUCAGAACACGAGCCUCGGGCUACAGAUCCAGAAAGACGCUCGAGCUCGGCCGGGUCGGGGAGCACAGCGGUGUGUGGUGCCUCUGGCCCUCGGACUGACUUAGCGUGGCCUCUGAGAACCCAGGCCUCCCCGCGUUGCCUGGCUGCCGCCGGGAGCAUCGGCCCACGUGCACCUGCGCCCUGCCGCCCCUUUAGCUCAACGAGUCAUUUCUCCUGGGGAGGAACCUCUUGCUGUCAACAGCGCUGACCCCACUCACAGUAAGGUCCCAGUGCAGUGUGAGCCGCCGGUCCUCUUCCUGUUGUUCUCGGGGAAGCGAAUCGUGCGCCUUGGCCAAAGUGUUUAUCCGCAAGCCCAAAACGAUGGUGUCACCUGUUCCUCCUGCCCUGGCUUCUUUCUUCCCAGCUCUGUCCUCGCUCUUUCUCCUGCUCUGUAUUUGUCCAGCUCUUUCUCAUUCACAGCGUGCUUCCAGGUUCCCUUUCCUUCUCAUACCCUCUGUCUCCAGCUCCCUCUCCCCUCUCCUCCAGCUUUAGGUGGCGCCUUCCGCCUUGUUGGGAAGAGGGAUUGAGAGCUCAGGCCCCAGAGUUAGGAGACCCAGUAGGACGCCUGCUCUGCUCUUCACAGGCAAGUAACCUGGGGAAGGUUAUUCUGAGCUAUACUUUCUUCACAUGUCAGGUGGGGCUGAUAAUGACAUCACAGGGUUGUUUUAAAGAUGAUGUGAGAGGGGCGCCUGGGUGGCUCAGUCGGUUGAGCGUCCUACUUCGGCUCAGGUCAUGAUCUCGAGGUCUGUGAGUUCCGAGGCCCGCGUCGGGCUCUGCGCUGACAGCUCAGAGCCUGGAGCCUGUUUCGGAUUCUGUGUCUCCCUCUCUUUCUGACCCCCCCCCCCCCCACUCAUGCUCUGUCUCUCUCUGUCUCAAAAAUAAAUAAAUGUUAAAAAAAAUAAAGAUGAUGUGAGAUAACCCUAUACAGUGCUUGGGACGAUGCCUGGUACAUAGUAAGUACUCAAAAAAAAAAAGAGAGAGAUACUUAUUAUCCAUCCCUAUUCAUUUCCCUUCCCCUCUGGCCCUCCUUAUCCUUCUGCCAGACUGAGUCUCUGUAACUGCAUUUCAGUCACAUUUUUCCUUCCCUAGAGACUGUCCAGGGUGCUAAACGGUACAGCUUUCCCCCACUUCAUAGAACAGGUAAGACAGAAAUGUUUGUGUCUUCUAGAAAUUCAUCUUAGAGAAGUGGGGCCAGAGACGGCCCUUCCUGCCGCACUGUGAGAGAGUCAGCUUCCUAUCUCCCCAGAGAACCGGCCAGUUGAGGGGCACCGCCCACGGGGCUGAAAGCCAACCCACACUUGGAGUAAAGCAACUUCUGGUCCCUGCUCCUACAGCCCGAGAGAUAUUCGGAAAGACUCAUACCACUUC